rnacentral:lncRNA from 10 species
UGCAAGUCAUUGAACCUGUCUAAGACUCAGGAUACUGAGACAGCAAGACCUUCCUCAAAUUGCCGAGGCAAAAACCCUGAUGGCUACAGAAUUUAGUAACAAGUGUGAUUACUGGCAUGAGACUUCUAAAAGAUCUCCGUUUGGGUGUCCAAAAGACAAUGUAAAUUUAGCAUGUCUGAAACUGACUCCCCAUCUUUCAUACCAGCCAACUUCCAUCCCACAACUCCUAUCAUCCAGUUGCUCAGACAAAAGACUCAGAGACCUCCUUGACUUCUUUCUUUUACAAUAUGCAGUCCUUCAAGAACUCCUGGCAGUGCUUUCUUCAGAUGAUGCUCAGAAUCCAGCCACCUCUGACCGUCUUCACUCUGAGUGCCAGGGGCUCUUCACCUCCCUGCACACUGGGCUCUCUGUUUCUGCUCCUAGCCUCGCAGCCUCUCAUCAAGUGGCCUGUCACUCCUCUGCUCAAGGCACUGUGUGUUAGGAUGAUCAUCAGCACUAGCUGCUGUGCCUGGAGUGGUCCCCACACACGCUUGACUGCCUCCCUCACUCCGUCAAGUUGAUACAGAAGGGCUGGGCUCCUGGCUAAACCCUACCCUUAAGCCUGGAACCUCGGCCCUAAAGGACCCCAUUUUCCCCAAAAAUGUUACCUUUUUGGCCUGCCUGCCCACAUGCUGUGCCCAUAAAAGACUUCAGCUGGCAGAGCAACACAAGCGGCUGAGCACUGAGGAUAUAAGCAGCUGAGCGGCGAGCAGAAAAGCAACUGAGCAUCGGAGACUGUGGAUAGAUCUGGCUAACUUCAGAUGGUGCAGCUUUGGAGAGGGGCCCUGCCGGAGACGGUGGGGCUUCAGGGAAAGAUCACCAUCCCAUCACCUUUCCAUCCUCCCUUUCCACUGAGAGCCACCCAACACCCAGUAAAGUAUUUUGCAUUCGUCACCUUUCAAACAGUUUAUGUGACCUGAUUCUUCUUCCUGGACGCCAGACAAGAACCUGGGUGCCAAGAAGGCAGGGGCUGCCACCCUGAACCUCCAUUGAACUGGUUGGUAUUUGGCCAUCCCCUGACAGCACAGCUGAAAGAAUAGGGACGCUGCUGCAGGGCCCGAACAGAGCCUGCUCCUGCCAGAGAGGAGCAACCGGCUGGUUCCAGCGUUCAUUUGCUCCGGUUCCCACACUUGCUCACACACUCACUCCCACAAGGAGUGGCCAGCAACAGGCUGAGUGAAACAAAGUGCUCCUUAGCUGGGCGUGAUGGUGUGUGCCUGUAAUCCCAACAUAAGAAACCCCAUCUCUACUAAAAAUACAAAAUUAGACGGGCUUGGUGGCCCGUGCCUGUAAUCCCAGCGACUCGGGAGGCUGAGGCAGGAGAAUCACUUGAACCCGGGAGACGGAGGUUGCAGUGACCUGAAAUCUCACCACUGCACUCCAGCCUGGGCAACAGGGCGAGACUCAGUCUCAAAAAAAAACAAAACAAAAACAAAAAACAAAGUGCUCCAGUUCCCGCCCAUGAAGGGCGUCAGGGCAACUAUUCCAUCGCAAAGUCAUUGCUUAUGUUUUACCUUCUCAGUGAACCCAACCUUGGCCAUCCUAUUUAACAUUGCUCUCCUCCCCACCCUGCCAUAGCACUCCAAUCUCCCUUGAUAUUCCCUACUUCUUUGCGCACUUACCACCUUCAAGUAUAGUAUUAUUUAUUUCUUUAUUACAUUUGUUGCUCUUGCCCAACCCUUACCUAUAAUGCAAGCUCUAUAGAGGCAGAAAUCUUUGUCUCUUUUGUUCAUUGAUAUAUCCCAAGCACCUAGGACAGUGCCUGGCAUAAAAGGAGCUUGAUACAUAUUUAUCCAGUGAAGUUUGUUGAAUGAAUGACAUGAGAAUCACUUUGGUUAUCUGGCCUAGAUGGGCCAGUGAAAAUCUGGCUAUGAUUAAAAUGAGCUUCUAGAAGCCCACAGCAUGUGAAUUAAAUUGGAGUGGGCUUGUUUCUUUUAACUGUACUGAAGAGCUUAGAGAAGGAGUAAUACACUUGAAGUUCUAAGUUCCUGAUUCUGUAGACAGUCAGAGGACCAGGGACUGUCCACAAUUAUUCUUUAAAAAUAUCUCAUUUCUUGUAGCUACAAUGCUGAAGUAGUUAAUAAACUCAAAAUUGACUUCUCCAAGUUGAAAUCACAACCUUGCCAAGUCUCUUAUAUAAAAGUUAGAGCACUGAUCAGGAAAGAGGGACACCCACAGAAUUGGAACAGGAAGGUAUUAGAGAAUUUAAUAGACUCCAAACUCCAAAUUAUCUUCACACUCUACCCUACCACCCUUCAUUGCUUUCAGAAUUAUAAAUAAGCCAGAUGCCAGCAUACCUGGGGGAAGAGGCCAAUUACAAAGACAAAGCUUAGAGAAAAAGAUUUACACACCAGGAGAAUUUCAAGCUGCUGCUAACCUGUAUGAGCAGAAAUGUGAAGACUGGGAUUGGGAAUGAAUUUUUGAACCAGCUCAGUUAAUGUGCAAGCAUUCACCAGAGACUGGAAGUUCAGCUACUAGCUUAAAUAUCUGGAAGUGGAUCAGAAUGGUUGCUCAGUUGGAUGACAGAAACUGAACUCAAUAAAGGCUUAUUUGAAAUAAAGUUAUUUCUAGAAAAUCCUUUUUGUAAUAAAGAAAAAGGAAUCUGACUGCCUAGGGAGACAGGAAUGUUGGGGUAGAAUUAUUGCGUGGAAUCCAUUCACUCAUUCACCAACUGUGAGA